rnacentral:rRNA from 16 species
GUGGAUGCCUUGGCAGUCAGAGGCGAUGAAAGACGUGGAAGCCUGCGAUAAGGUUCGGGGAGCUGGCAAACAAGCUGUGAUCCGGGCAUUUCUGAAUGGGGAAACCCACCGACUUUCGGGUCGGUAUCUUGCACUGAAUACAUAGGUGUAAGAGGCGAACCGGGGGAACUGAAACAUCUAAGUACC